GUAGGUGGCAAGCGUUGUCCGGGAAUUAUUGGGGCGUAAAGCGCGCGCAGGCGGUUCUUUAAGUCUGAUGUGAAAGCCCACGGGCUCAACCGUGGAGGGUCAUUGGAAACUGGAGAACUUGAGUACAGAAGAGGAAAGCGGAAUUCCACGUGUAGCGGUGAAAUGCGUAGAGAUGUGGAGGAACACCAGUGGCGAAGGCGGCUUUCUGGUCUGUAACUGACGCUGAGGCGCGAAAGCGUGGGGAGCAAACAGGAUUAGAUACCCUGGUAGCCCACGCCGUAAACGAUGAGUGCUAAGUGUUAGGGGGUUUCCGCCCCUUAGUGCUGCAGCUAACGCAUUAAGCACUCCGCCUGGGGAGUACGGCCGCAAAGGCUGA
rnacentral:rRNA from 1 species